GUCUACGGCCAUACUACCCUGAACACGCCCAAUCUCGUCUGAUCUCGGAAGCUAAGCAGGGUCAGGCCUGGUUAGUACUUGGAUGGGAGACAUCCCAAAUAGUCAACAACUAAAGUAA